AUUAAUUCUUGUGCAGAAGAAAAUUUAUGAACUGUUUGAACACUAUAACAUGUCAUUACGGCACAAACAGUGUAACUUUGGUUGUGAUUUUGCACUAUAAGAGUGAAAGUGACUAAAGUGAUUAUAUUAAAGUGAAAUUUAUGCUGUGCUUUUGAUCUUGAUUUGUGAAAUCUUAUUUGCCUACUUUUUAAAAUAUUUAUUCGCAUACAGAUAGUGUGGCUUUGGUUAUAGUGCUGCACCUUAAAAAUUGCAUUGUUGUUAAAGGGAAAUUUAUGAUGUACUUUUGGUCUUGAUUUGUGACAUCUAAUUAGCACCUUUGCCUUCACGCCUCCAGCGCCCCUUGUCUGGUGUUCGUCCUUCCAGCACAGGGACCCCCAACCCCUUGGAAGGUAAACAAAAUAAACUACAGAAAGCUGUACAGCAUAUACUGUCUCUUCUGGAAGAGAUGAAAACUGACGUGAAAGACAUAAAAAUAGCCUUGCGCAGAUGGAGUGCCAAACCCAAGAAAAGGAGUUGACAUCUGCCACAAAGGUUACAGUUUCCCUGAAAAUCUUCAGAGGAUGUAGAAUGUCUCAAGCUGGAUUUAAAGACAGAGCUAGGAAAACGAGCACGCUUGGAAUGCUAUUUGGCGAUGCGUGGAGGCUUUAGCUUAAAGCACGUAGUCAGGGGCAUACUGUCUGUGCUAUUUUCAACUGAAUUAGCCCGGUGUUACAACUUUAAUGAUCUGAAGGGAAAGAAGGGACUGAAGAACCACCCCUUUAUUUUACGAACAGUUAAGGUUUUAGAUGCUGCAAGAAAAAGUUAUCCUGAUGCUACGGAAGUGGAACUGCAAAUUCAGAUUUUGAGCUGGCUGACUGGUGCGAGGGAUCGCGAAAAUGGGAGAAAGGAAAGACUUUUAAAGCCUGUAAAUAAUUCUGGGGUUGAGGGUGAAUUACAGGAGAAGUAAAGCUGUAAAAAUUUCAACUGAUAUUUGUCUGGAAAACUCUUUGACAUAAACCUGUACAGGUCAAUGCCUUACGAAUUUGUGUAAAUAAUUAUUUUUUUAAUUAACAAUUAAAUAAACAUCA